AGUGAACGCUGGCGGUAGGCCUAACACAUGCAAGUCGAACGGCAGCACAGUAAGAGCUUGCUCUUACGGGUGGCGAGUGGCGGACGGGUGAGGAAUACAUCGGAAUCUACUUUUUCGUGGGGGAUAACGUAGGGAAACUUACGCUAAUACCGCAUACGACCUACGGGUGAAAGCAGGGGAUCUUCGGACCUUGCGCGAUUGAAUGAGCCGAUGUCGGAUUAGCUAGUUGGCGGGGUAAAGGCCCACCAUGGCGACGAUCCGUAGCUGGUCUGAGAGGAUGAUCAGCCACACUGGAACUGAGACACGGUCGAGACUCCUACGGGAGGCAGCAGUGGGGAAUAUUGGACAAUGGGCGCAAGCCUGAUCCAGCCAUACCGCGUGGGUGAAGAAGGCCUUCGGGUUGUAAAGCCCUUUUGUUGGGAAAGAAAAGCAGCAGGUUAAUACCCCGCUGUUCUGACGGUACCCAAAGAAUAAGCACCGGCUAACUUCGUG
rnacentral:rRNA from 1 species